AUUGAACGCUGGCGGCAUGCCUUACACAUGCAAGUCGAACGGCAGCACGGGUGCUUGCACCUGGUGGCGAGUGGCGAAAGGGUGAGUAAUAAAUGGGGACAUGUCCUGUAGGGGGGGAUAGGCGGGCGAAAGCCGGAUUAAUACCGCAUACGAUCUACGGAGGAAAGCGGGGGACCUUCGGGCCUCGCGCUAUAGGGUUGGCCGAUGGCUGAUUAGCUAGUUGGGGGGGUACAGGCCUACCACGGCGACGAUCAGUAGCUGGGCUGAGCGGACGACCAGCCACACUGGGACUGAGACACGGCCCAGACUCCUACGGGAGGCAGCAUUGGGUAAUUUUGGACAAUGGGCGAAAGCCUGAUCCAGCAAUGCCGCGUGUGUGAAGAAGGCCUUCUGGUUGUAAAGCACUUUUGUCCGGAAAGAAAUCCUUGGCCCUAAUACGGUCGGGGGAUGACGGUACCGGAAGAAUAAGCACCGGCUAACUACGUG
rnacentral:rRNA from 1 species